GCGUAUAUUAAAGUUGUUGCAGUUAAAAAGCUCGUAGUUGGAUCUGGGUCGCAUGGCUACAUGCCGUAUCUCGUUUUCGUGCUGGUUUCGAUCGGUCGAUUAUGGGUCGGUGUCGGUUGUGCAGCCUUUCUGCCGUGUCUGUUUCGACAGGUGUUGAUUGUACCGGUGGGCUUGUCUUGCUGGUCUGUUGACAUGCUUCCGUAUGCCUUUAAACGGGUGUCGGGGGCGGACGGCACGUUUACUUUGAACAAAUUUGAGUGCUCAAAGCAGG
rnacentral:rRNA from 1 species